UCACAUGAGAAUGCUUCUUAUAUGAGAAAUGAGAAUGAAUCUCAACCACAAGAUUGGAUUAGAGUUACAACACUUGUUCAUUAGAGUUAUACCUUUGAAAAAAAUUCAAGCCCAAAAAAAAAUUUUUUUUUUCAAAAUACUUUUUCUAAUUUUUGUUUUUUUGGAGUUACAUCACUUUUUCAUUAGAGUUACAUCACUUGUUCAUUAGAGUUAUAGCAUGUAAAAUUCAUUCUCAUUUAUCACCUAAGUAUGCAUUCUCAUAUGAACUCAUUUCUAUAUAUAUAGGAGGGCUCUUGUGAGAACACCUCCUCUAUGUGAGAACACUUUUUUAUGUAAGAACAAAUCUGGACCUUUGGAUCAAAUCUAAUCUAACCAUCCUAAAUACACUUUAUGAGUAAUGGCAUUUUCGUAAUUUAGUUUAACCCUUACCCCUUCUUCCCCACCCCUUUCACGCUAUUUUUUUCUCUCUCUAUCUUCUCUUUCUCUCUCCUCUGUAUCGAGCUGUUCUAUGUUCUCGUGAUCAGAGUGAUUAAAGCUUGAUAUGCAAGCUGUCUUUGAUUAGGUUCAUGGAGCGAUACAGAAUAUUGGUGGCAAUAAGCCUGCUGUUUAUGAAGACAUGGAGGGCAUCUAUUAUCUAUGUUCGUUUUAAGGCGGCUUCAAGUGAGUUAUAUCAAAUUGUUAUUCACUAUCUUGAUGUAAGGAAUGGGUUCAAGCCGAGCAUAUUUGAGUGACAAAGGUUAUACCUUUUGUGGUUGAAGAGAUCUCAUUAAUAUGGCUGGCCUCUAGAAUGAUCCUCUUUUGCAAGUAGAAACUAAUUGUGUCUCUUUUAUAUGAACUUCGUGGCAUAAAAUACAAUAGAAAUUUUAAGAUGAGGUGCGCAAGUCUGAAACAACAAGGGAUAAGAUGUUAUUUGAGAUUGAACAAGAAUGUUUGGAAGUAUGCAAGAGAAGAGUUGAUGCGGCGAACCGCUCCAGAGCUCUGCUAUGACAGGCUAUUGUUGAUUCGGAGGCAAGAGCUUCAAUUCAAAUACAUAACAGACAGGUAAAAAUAAAAAUAAUUGAUUUUGUGACUUCGAUAGGAUGAUUAGCACAUUCACUUCCUUCGAUAAUUUACUAGGAUGCUAAUUUUAAAACUUCUUUAGAUAUUAUAUAAUGUAAGCUACAUUUCGUUUUAAUGUGAUAUGAAUACUACUGUUGCCUCUUAAUGUUAAA